CGGGGCGCUGGGCCUGUGGAAGGCGGGUUCUAACGAGGGUAGGGACGUGGCUCUUCACACUUCCUUUUUCCCGUAUGGGCGCAUGUAGGGUUCUCUACUCUCACCGGGCAGAACGGCUCAGGAGACAGAUGGCCUCAAGUCUUCCAAGUGCCCAGGUCCUGGGACACUGACAUCUGGGGAUGUGGCCCUCACCCAGGUGGAAUGGAGACACUUGAUUGCUGCUCAGCAGGCACU
rnacentral:lncRNA from 1 species